rnacentral:rRNA from 1 species
AAUCAACGCUGGCGGCGUGCCUCAGACAUGCAAGUCGAACGAUUAAAGCUCUCUUCGGAGAGUGCAUAGAGUGGCGCACGGGUGAGUAACACGUAAGUAAUCUACCUUCGAGUGGGGAAUAACAUCGGGAAACCGAUGCUAAUACCGCAUAAUGCAGCGGCAUCGCAAGAUGACAGUUGUUAAAGAUUUAUCGCUUGAAGAGGGAGUCUUGGCGG